rfam:Lysinibacillus massiliensis 4400831 = CIP 108448 = CCTG 49529 contig143, whole genome shotgun sequence.
CCCAAAGUAAUCGUUAAGUGGAAAAGGAUGUGGCGUUGCUUAGACAACCAGGAUGUUGGCUUAGAAGCAGCCAUCAUUUAAAGAGUGCGUAAUAGCUCACUGGUCGAGUGACGCUGCGCCGAAAAUGUAUCGGGGCUAAACGAUUCACCGAAGCUGUGGAUUGACAUCUAAGAUGUCAGUGGUAGGAGAGCGUUCUAAGUGCGUUGAAGUCAGACCGGAAGGACUGGUGGAGCGCUUAGAAGUGAGAAUGCCGGUAUGAGUAGCGAAAGAUGGGUGAGAAUCCCAUCCACCGUAUGACUAAGGUUUCCUGAGGAAGGCUCGUCCGCUCAGGGUUAGUCGGGACCUAAGUCGAGGCCGAUAGGCGUAGACGAUGGACAACAGGUUGAUAUUCCUGUACCACCUCCCCGCCGUUUGAGUAAUGGGGGGACGCAGUAGGAUAGGGAAAGCGUGCCGUUGGUUGUGCACGCCCAAGCAGUAAGGCGUGGAAGUAGGAAAAUCCGCUUCCUAAUACGUUGAGCUGUGAUGGGGAGCGAUUCAUCGCGAAGUUCCUGAUUUCACACUGCCAAGAAAAGCCUCUAGCGAGGCGGGAGG